rnacentral:lncRNA from 1 species
GUGGGAGUAGUGGGUCAUUACAGAAACAUUGUAUGAAUAAGCAUUGUUUGAACAUUGUUCCUUGUAAAGCCAAACUCACUGGUUCCAGACUUCCAGUUAAUGAAUUUUUUUUUUGUGUUGUGUGCUUUGGCAAAUUGCUUUUUAAGGAAAAGCUUGCUUAUUUAAAGAAACAGAGGUGAGCAUCGAUUGUCAUGUUGACUGCUUACCAUAUCCAAAAUUUCUUAGUAGCUUCCGCAUUAGAGUGUGUAUCAAUCUGACCAGGAAGAAAUAAGCAAAAAUUAGGUACAGUUAUCAUAAAAAAUAUCGUUUUAUUGUUGUAGAAGUAAACCAGAUAACACCAUCAUUGUUUUAACAGUGCUUGAAAUAGAGUUGCUUAAGCUAUGUUAAGUCCUGAAAUGACUCUGUACCAAAAUUAACUAUUCCAGAAAGUACUUGAUGGCUGACUUAUGAAAUUAGUAUAACGUUUACAUACCACGAUUAUGAUGACAAACCAUUAUAAACCACAUAUGAUAUGAGUUUCUAAUUAAUUGAGGAUAUAUUCUCUUAGUUAGCUUUGAUUUUCUGACUGUGUUAAACCUGCAAAAAAAAAAAAAAAAAGGUUUUAAUUCACUCUUGAGUAGUGUUAGCGAUUGAUCAUAGAGCAGUCAUAUUCGUAAUCUAGCCACAUAGUGCAAGAGAGGUGACCAGAGGAAUGCGGAAGGUUGUUGUAUAUUAAUUCAGCAUGAGAAUGCGGUUGAGAUUGUAGGAAUAAAGUGAAAAUGUUGAUUUCAUGGAAAGUUAAUAUUAAAAAAUCAGAAAUCACUAUAACACGAUUGUAGAUCUCAGAAUAUAUAAGAUCAAGAGCAGGUUACCAAAAAUGUCGAGAAAUUCAAACUGAAAACACGCCACCGAAGAGCGCUUGUUCUUUCUUCUAACGCUGUAACCACACACCAAGUUAAAAAUUCGUCCAGUCGAUCAAAGAAACAAAAACUGCAAAAAAGUACAAAUAUCACAAAGAUAUCAUAGGCUGAUGUAUAUGGGAAGAACUCAUACCAUUUUAUAGGUCGAGUUUCACCGUCUGUAAGGGAGAUGAGAAGUACUGAAUGAGGAAUCGUGAGGCGUAGGUCUUAAGAGUAAAGAGCGCUAGUAAUGGAGAUGAACACUUAAUACCGUAACGUAACAGAGGAGAUGAAUCAGGAACGAAACAUUACAAAAGAGACCGACGCAGUGAUUCCAGACGAAUAACUGAGACGGAGAACCUCUAACAACCUCCAUUGGAGUUUGAUGACUUAAUCACAGCUUAAGAGUACGAACCCUAGAUCUAUCAAAGACGACAAUAUGAGAACGCCGCAACCUAUUAGUUUGUGUUUAUCAGCGUGAAAUAAAUGGAAUAAAU